rnacentral:pre_miRNA from 1 species
GUGGCCAUCUUACUGGGCAGCAUUGGAUGGUGUCUGAUCUCUAAUACUGCCUGGUAAUGAUGACGGC